GACGAACGCUGGCGGCGUGCUUAACACAUGCCAGUCGAACGGAAAGGCCCUGCUUUUGUGGGGUGCUCGAGUGGCGAACGGGUGAGUAACACGUGAGUAACCUGCCCUUGACUUUGGGAUAACUUCAGGAAACUGGGGCUAAUACCGGAUAGGAGCUCCUGCUGCAUGGUGGGGGUUGGAAAGUUUCGGCGGUUGGGGAUGGACUCGCGGCUUAUCAGCUUGUUGGUGGGGUAGUGGCUUACCAAGGCUUUGACGGGUAGCCGGCCUGAGAGGGUGACCGGCCACAUUGGGACUGAGAUAGGGCCCAGACUCCUACGGGAGGCAGCAGUGGGGAAUAUUGCACAAUGGGCGGAAGCCUGAUGCAGAAACGCCGCGUGCGGGAUGACGGCCUUCGGGUUGUAAACCGCUUUCGCCUGUGACGAAGCGUGAGUGACGGUAAUGGGUAAAGAAGCACCGGCUAACUACGUG
rnacentral:rRNA from 1 species